AGGACGAACGCUGGCGGCGUGCUUAACACAUGCAAGUCGAGCGGAAAGGCCCUUCGGGGUACUCGAGCGGCGAACGGGUGAGUAACACGUGAGUAAUCUGCCCCUAGCUCUGGGAUAGCUCCGGGAAACCGGGAUUAAUACCGGAUACGACCACCUUAGACAUCUUUUGUGGUGGAAAGAAUUUCGGCUAGGGAUGGACUCACGGCCUAUCAGCUAGUUGGUGGGGUAAAGGCCUACCAAGGCGACGACGGGUA
rnacentral:rRNA from 1 species